CGCGCGCCUAUACACACAAAAGCAAAAACGUCCGUUUAUACAAAUAUACGGCGUUUCCGUCUUUUGUUGGCGGGGGCGGGGGUGCGUGUGUGUGGAUAACGGCUCACAUAACGUGUCGCGAUGGAUGACUUGGCUUCCUAUUUCGUUGAAGAACGCAGUAAAGUGCGAUAAGUGGUAUCAAUUGCAGAAUCAUUCAAUUACCGAAUCUUUGAACGCAAACGGCGCAUGGGAGAAG
rnacentral:rRNA from 1 species